UGUUAUUAUAAACUUAUUUGUGACCAUGUUAACAGUAUAACACAGCUGUUUGAGUUUUCAUUCCAGGCCCACUUUUCUACUUCCUGUCACUCUCCAUCUCUCUGUCUUUCCGCUUGGUUUGCUCUCAUCCACAACCCUAUUUGCAGGUGGACCAUUGUGAUCUGUCUAAAUAUUACCUCUCCCUGUCUUUCCUAGUUGGUUUGCUCUCAUCCACAGCCCUAUUUGCAGGUGGACCAUUGUGAUCUGUCUAAAUAUUACCUCUUCUGCGUCCCCUGCGCUCCACGGCCCCCGGCACUCCCAUCCGUCAGGAGGCAGGAAUGGUUCUCCCAUGCAGAAGGACUCGUCUGCGGCUGAAAUAUUGAUCACAGCGGCUCAUGGAAGAGCUGCCACCCAAAGCCCGUGACAGCACUCGGGUCACUGUGACAAAGACAGAGGCUUGCUCGAGUUUCAAAUGCGGCCUGAUUCAAAUAUUCCCUUUUUCUUCUUCAAAAACGCAUAAAGUGCUGAUAAAUGGUUUGAAGAGAGAGGCACUAAAAGGAUAAAACUCCAGAGAAGAGACCAAGCGGGGCGAGUGCGGUAUCAGGUGUGUAAAUAUGUGUGUGUGUCCGGCCCUGUCAGUUGUGUUGGUUAAAUGAUGUGACAGGUGAGAGUGUGCUGGAGUGUUUGAGCGGUGGAUGAGUCUGUCACACUGAUUGAUUUUCUUUCUUCGAGCGGCGCAGGCAUCGACGGGGAAUCCAAACAAGUGGCCAUCUCACUCUCCACCAUCUGAGCUCUGAAGACAGCUUUGCAGCGGCCGCAAGCAUUCUUCAAACGCUCUUUGGAGUUUGUGGAAAGUUUGUGCUGGUGAUAUCUCUCUGUUUUAAACUCUAAAGACUAAACUUUGAAGCUGAAACUUUUUGCAAAGGUUUUUAGAAGUUUGAUAUCUUGCUUUUUUGUGAACUAAAGCCGUAUUCUAUUCAAGUAUGCUUACUUCUUACUGUAGCGUUGACUUUACUCCAGUACUCAAGAGGGCGCAAGAGUUGCCUUAAAACUAAGCCUACUUUUCACGGUCAUGUACUUGCAUAGAAUAUGUUUAACAGUUUUAUGUGAAUGUGAAUAUUCCAUAAAAGUAUUUGAACACUUAAGUCACACUUCAAAAUCUCUGAGUAUCUCAUUUGCAGUGUUAUUUUAGUAUUGUUUAUAUGCCGUUGUAGUAUUAAAUAAUUUGGAUUAGCUUUUAUUUAUAUGUGUAGUUUUAAUUAAAUAUAGUUUGUUUUAGUUAUUUUGUUGUGUGUUUUUUAGUGUAUUAUUUGUUUUAGUUUUCAUAUUUCUAUUUCGCUUUAGUUAAUUUUUAUUUUUUGUUAGUAAUUUUUGUACUUCAGAUAGUUUGCCAAAGCAACAGUUCUAAUUUUCAUUUUAGUUUUUCAUCUUAUGUUUAUAUAUUUGAUCUUUUUUUACCAAAAUACAAAUUUUAAAUAGUUUUAGUUUCAAGCAAACAA
rnacentral:lncRNA from 1 species